rnacentral:lncRNA from 1 species
UUAACUGCUGAGCGAUCUCUCCACCCCCUAGUUUAAUUAUUUUUAAAGACUUAUUUGAUUACUUAUUUAUGUAUAUGUAUGUGUGUUUAUAUACAUGCAAAUGAAUGACUUCAGAGGCCAGAAGAGAGCAUGCCCCGGAGCUGGAGUAACAAGUGGUUGUGAGCUGCCCAACAAGCCUUAGCAACUAAACCCUGGACAUGCAAGCACUCUUACCCACUGACCUAGCUCUCUAGCCCCUUAAUCAUUACUACUUUGUCCCUUGGGACACUAGGAUGAACCCAGGGUCUUGUACAUAAUAGAUGAUUCUCCUGUCUCAGCCUCCCAAGUCCUGGAAUUACAGACCACUAUACCCAACACCACUGGACAGAUAAUUUGUUAGAUAAUUUAUAUUAUUUUAAUUUCAUUUGUUUAUGUUUUUAGAAAGUGUCUUGCUACAUCUUGAACCAUUUUGUCUCGAACUCACAGAGGUCUAUCUGCCUCUGCCUCCUGAGCACUAGGAUUAACUCAGGGAUUUGUCUAUCUCUGCCUCCUGAGUGCUGGCAUCAAAGGCAUGUGCCACCACCUUGGCUAACAUGUGGGUUAUUUCUGAAUUUUUCUUUCACAACUGAAAAAUCAUAAUAAUUGAAGAAAAUAGUGAAUAUUUCUGAAAAAAAAUUACUUUUACUUAUGUGCAUGGGUGUUUUGCCUGCAGUAAAUGUACUGUAUGAAUGUCCAGUACUUAUGGAGGCCAGAGGAGGGAACUUCUCUCGUACUGGAGUUACUGGUGGUUGUGAGCAGUCACAUAGGCACUGGAAACAAAACUCAAAUCCAGAACAAAACUGUUGACCCACUUCUCCUGUAGUGAAUAAUUCUGCACAAAUAAUCUAAUUCCUUCUGAUUAGUUUCUCCAAGAUGACACAGAAGUCUAAAGAUGCAUGUUUGCAGGGCAAAGACCAAAACACUCUAGAUAUAAAGCACUCCAUUCUUUAUAUCAGCACUGUUUAGCUGCUCAAUAAGAGUAUCUGUAAUGGUACAAAUUUUAAAAUGUUUAUUAUUAUUGUGUGUGCUAAUGUGUGGGCCAUACAUGCCGUAUAUCCUCGUGGAGGUCAAGGGACAACAGUUAGGGGGACAGCUCUUUCUCUCUACCACAGUUCUAGGGACUGAACUCAGGUCCUAAGGCUUGGAGGGCAGCAUUUUCAUGGUCUCAGACGUCUUGCCAGUCAAAGCCAUGCUUUAUAAUUAAUGCCGUCCAGUGUGGUAGUCAAAAGCCAUGGCAUGGCUGGGGAAAUGACUCAGUGGGUAAAGAGCUGGCUGUACAAUCACAGGGCCAGAAUUCAGAUUCCCCAGCCGUCAUGGUAAAAAGUCAGAGGAAAGCGUCAGGGAAAAUGGUAUACAUUCAGUUUCAGUUCUCAGAGGCAGAGGGAGGGAGAGCUCUGUAAUUCUAGACCAAGCUGGUCUACAUAGUUCCAGGCCAGCCAGGGUUACAUAGUGAGACCCUGUUUCAAACCAAAACCAAAACCAAAACCAAAACUGAAUCAGGGGAGUGUGUCAGCCUGCUUGUAAUCCUAUUCUGGAAGAGGGAAACAGGCAAUCCUGAGAGCAAACCAGCUAGCCAAUAAAGGCCCACUGAAGAAGACACUCAAUAUAUAUAGAUUUUAGGCCCUCACACACAUGUGAACACACACAGAGUCAUGACAGAUUCCCUGAGAACACAACUCUUUCUUCAAGGCUGCUUUGUACUUGGUCUGUAACGUUCUGGAAAUAACCUGUAUUCUCCUAGUGCAUCACUCUUUGAUUAGCUUCCUGUUGACUUUGCCCCAUAAUAUUUCCCCCUGAAAGCAGUACAUGAGAUGCUGUACUUGAUAAGCUUGCCUGGCCUAAGACAUACUUCAUAUGAGAUCUCCUAGCCCUCCUGUUCUGUCUCUUUUAUCUCCGAUCCCCUGGCUCUUCCUUCUGAGGACCCUGUCACUGAAGAAUGACUUGCUGGCCCAGGUCUUCCAAACACUGGCGUUAUCGGAGUGAGCCACCAUGCCUAAGUUCACGGCAACUCUUGAGAUGUCAAUUCCCAGCAACCACAUGGUGGCUCACAACAUCUGUAAUGGGAUCUGACUCCUUCUCCUGUACAUGAAGACAGAUCGCUCAUAUACAUAAAAUACAUGAAUAAAUAAAUCUUAAAAAAAAAUAAUCCCACUAGGAUCCAAUUUGUCCAGAGAGGUUUCCGUAGUAAGAUCUCUGUGACUUGACUAUGACAAGUCAGGGCCAAGUGCUUACGCAGGUCCUCCCAUCAAACACGAGAAGGAUAUUUUACCUUGCUUUACUUCUUCUGAAGCCAUGGAGUCCCCCACCUCAAAAUCCGCACUGAUCCUCUUCCUGAGGAAGCGUAAGUACAGUUCACUUCGCGCAUUCAUCAGGGUAACCUCAGUCAAGACAGGGUCCAGCUCCCUGAGACACAGAGCAUAGGGAA